AGGAAAGGGGGGCGGCUACACAUGCAAGUCGAGCGGCAGCGGGUCCUUCGGGAUGCCGGCGAGCGGCGGACGGGUGAGUAAUGCCUAGGAAUCUGCCUGGUAGUGGGGGAUAACUCGGGGAAACUCGAGCUAAUACCGCAUACGUCCUACGGGAGAAAGCGGGGGAUCUUCGGACCUCGCGCUACCAGAUGAGCCUAGGUCGGAUUAGCUAGUUGGUGAGGUAAAGGCUCACCAAGGCGACGAUCCGUAGCUGGUCUGAGAGGAUGAUCAGCCACACUGGAACUGAGACACGGUCCAGACUCCUACGGGAGGCAGCAGUGGGGAAUAUUGGACAAUGGGCGAAAGCCUGAUCCAGCCAUGCCGCGUGUGUGAAGAAGGUCUUCGGAUUGUAAAGCACUUUAAGUUGGGAGGAAGGGCAGUAAGCUAAUACCUUGCUGUUUUGACGUUACCGACAGAAUAAGCACCGGCUAACUUCGUGCCAGCAGCCGCGGUAAUACGAAGGGUGCAAGCGUUAAUCGGAAUUACUGGGCGUAAAGCGCGCGUAGGUGGUUUGAUAAGUUGGAUGUGAAAGCCCCGGGCUCAACCUGGGAAUUGCAUCCAAAACUGUCUGGCUAGAGUAUGGCAGAGGGUGGUGGAAUUUCCUGUGUAGCGGUGAAGUGCGUAGAUAUAGGAAGGAACACCAGUGGCGAAAGGCGACCACCUGGGCUAAUACUGACACUGAGGUGCGAAAGUGUGGGGGAGCAAACAGGAUUAGAUACCCUGGUAGUCCACGCCGUAACGAUGUCGACUAGCCGUUGGAUCUUUGAGAUCUUAGUGGCGCAGCUAACGCAUUAGUCGACCGCCUGGGGAGUACGGCCCGCAAGGGUAAAAACUCAAAUAG
rnacentral:rRNA from 1 species